rnacentral:rRNA from 1 species
AUUGAACGCUGGCGGCAGGCCUAACACAUGCAAGUCGAGCGGAUGAAGGGAGCUUGCUCCUGGAUUCAGCGGCGGACGGGUGAGUAAUGCCUAGGAAUCUGCCUGGUAGUGGGGGAUAACGUCCGGAAACGGGCGCUAAUACCGCAUACGUCCUGAGGGAGAAAGUGGGGGAUCUUCGGACCUCACGCUAUCAGAUGAGCUUAGGUCGGAUUAGCUAGUUGGUGGGGUAAAGGCCUACCAAGGCGACGAUCCGUAACUGGUCUGAGAGGAUGAUCAGUCACACUGGAACUGAGACACGGUCCAGACUCCUACGGGAGGCAGCAGUGGGGAAUAUUGGACAAUGGGCGAAAGCCUGAUCCAGCCAUGCCGCGCGUGUGAAGAAGGUCUUCGGAUUGUAAAGCACUUUAAGUUGGGAGGAAGGGCAGUAAGUUAAUACCUUGCUGUUUUGACGUUACCAACAGAAUAAGCACCGGCUAACUUCGUG